GGGUGGGGCUUGUAGAGCACGUGGCUAUGAACUACGGUGUCGGGGGUUCGAAUCCCUCCUCGCCCA
rnacentral:tRNA from 1 species